GAUGAACGCUGGCGGCGUGCCUAAUACAUGCAAGUCGAGCGAACGGACGAGAAGCUUGCUUCUCUGAUGUUAGCGGCGGACGGGUGAGUAACACGUGGAUAACCUACCUAUAAGACUGGGAUAACUUCGGGAAACCGGAGCUAAUACCGGAUAAUAUUUUGAACCGCAUGGUUCAAAAGUGAAAGACGGUCUUGCUGUCACUUAUAGAUGGAUCCGCGCUGCAUUAGCUAGUUGGUAAGGUAACGGCUUACCAAGGCAACGAUGCAUAGCCGACCUGAGAGGGUGAUCGGCCACACUGGAACUGAGACACGGUCCAGACUCCUGCGGGAGGCAGCAGUAGGGAAUCUUCCGCAAUGGGCGAAAGCCUGACGGAGCAACGCCGCGUGAGUGAUGAAGGUCUUCGGAUCGUAAAACUCUGUUAUUAGGGAAGAACAUAUGUGUAAGUAACUGUGCACAUCUUGACGGUACCUAAUCAGAAAGCCACGGCUAACUACGUGCCAGCAGCCGCGGUAAUACGUAGGUGGCAAGCGUUAUCCGGAAUUAUUGGGCGUAAAGCGCGCGUAGGCGGUUUUUUAAGUCUGAUGUGAAAGCCCACGGCUCAACCGUGGAGGGUCAUUGGAAACUGGAAAACUUGAGUGCAGAAGAGGAAAGUGGAAUUCCAUGUGUAGCGGUGAAAUGCGCAGAGAUAUGGAGGAACACCAGUGGCGAAGGCGACUUUCUGGUCUGUAACUGACGCUGAUGUGCGAAAGCGUGGGGAUCAAACAGGAUUAGAUACCCUGGUAGUCCACGCCGUAAACGAUGAGUGCUAAGUGUUAGGGGGUUUCCGCCCCUUAGUGCUGCAGCUAACGCAUUAAGCACUCCGCCUGGGGAGUACGACCGCAAGGUUGAAACUCAAAGGAAUUGACGGGGACCCGCACAAGCGGUGGAGCAUGUGGUUUAAUUCGAAGCAACGCGAAGAACCUUACCAAAUCUUGACAUCCUUUGACAACUCUAGAGAUAGAGCUUUCCCCUUCGGGGGACAAAGUGACAGGUGGUGCAUGGUUGUCGUCAGCUCGUGUCGUGAGAUGUUGGGUUAAGUCCCGCAACGAGCGCAACCCUUAAGCUUAGUUGCCAUCAUUAAGUUGGGCACUCUAAGUUGACUGCCGGUGACAAACCGGAGGAAGGUGGGGAUGACGUCAAAUCAUCAUGCCCCUUAUGAUUUGGGCUACACACGUGCUACAAUGGACAAUACAAAGGGCAGCGAAACCGCGAGGUCAAGCAAAUCCCAUAAAGUUGUUCUCAGUUCGGAUUGUAGUCUGCAACUCGACUACAUGAAGCUGGAAUCGCUAGUAAUCGUAGAUCAGCAUGCUACGGUGAAUACGUUCCCGGGUCU
rnacentral:rRNA from 1 species